rnacentral:lncRNA from 1 species
CAGGCUAGGGGUCGAAUUGGAGCUGUAGCUGCUAGCCUAUGCCAGAGCCACAGCAACAUGGGAUCUGAGCCACGUCUGUGACCUGCACCAUAGCUCACUGCAAUGACAGAUUCUUAACCCACUGAGUGAGGGCAGGGAUUGAACCCACGUCCUCAUGGAUGCUAGUUGGGUUUGUUAACCACUGAGCCAUGAUGGGAACUCCCCCCCCACCUUUUUUUUUUUUACAAUAGAAUCUCUUUUCUUUCCCAACUGUAUUGUAACAAGAACAUCAUUCUCUUUUGUCUCAUUGUAGUCUAUUCAUGCCUUUUUUCUCCUCUAACUAAAUAGACUACUAACCAGACUUUUAAAGAGUAUUUCAAAGAUUUUGCUUGGAUUGUUCAAACAGUAGAUUGAACCUCAAACCUUUAGAUAAUGGCUAUAAAUUUACUCCACUUUGAACUUGAUGGCCACUAAGAUGGAGCCAUCUCUAGGGUAAUAGCUGGUUGACAGUGCCCAUCCAGUGUCACAUGGUAUGAAAGAGGGCAAUAAAGAAAGUAUACAUUGUUAUUCUGGAUAGGUAUUUCCAGGGGAAGGGUAAGAUAUCUGGAGGUGGAGAAAACAAUAACAAGAACCAUGGAUUCUGAACUUGUAUGGCUAGGAAAUCUUGCACACCCUUUCAAGAACUGGAGAAUAAAUUUGGGAAGUGGGGUACUAGAUUUAAAUCCAGGUCAGUCCCUAUAAAGGAAGACAGGUGAUAAAAACACUUAAAACAUGUACCAUAGACCUUUGGGUAGUCUCUUUUCUUGGCUUUUGAGGAUCCAUAAGCUUUUUGUACCAACCAACCCCCAGCCAGCCUCAGUUUUUUACUGCUUCACCCAACCUAUAUACACAACCAUGGAAUAGUUUUACUAUUGUUUCAGAGGUAGCAGAGACAUGGCCGGUUAAGUCAAGAUCUUAGUGGUACAAAUGAGGUUGUCUCUGUUGUUCAUUCUGAAUGAUGUGUUCAUUCUUCCCAGGGUUGUUUCUUGGCAUCCCUUGGGUUGUCCAGUGGGUCAGUUUGUACUUUCAUCUGUCUCUUAGUUCCUCACACAGGGUUCUAAUCGUCCUGCUCUCCACUUACCUGGUGCCAGGCAAAGCAUAAGGAUGUGUCAGUGUUUUGUAGCUACCUGAUUUUAGGUUUUGGUGGUUGGUUUUAUUUUUUGAAAUGUAGAAAUACAAGUCUGACGUUAAAAAUGUGAGAAUAAAAUCAAAGUGUGAGAAAAGCUCUCUCACUUAGAUAUUAUCCUCACACUUUGGGGAACAAAAUAGCUAGAUUGGUAGGUUGUGUCUGCACUUGCUGUAAGUGGAAUGUAUCAUGUUAUUCCUCCAAAGUUAUGAUACAAACAGAUAACAACACAAAAGUUUUGUUGAAGCAAACAUUUAACUAGUAAUAUCCUAGAAAUAAAACAAUAUAAAGAAAAAUGGGAACUGUUUACUGUUGGGAAAAAAGAGAAGGGAGGCUACUUGCUGUGGUUUAUAAAGAUUCUUGAUUUUAUCUGUAAGAAUGGUCCUACUUUCAAAUGUAGAAGCAAACUGAGUUCUUCUGUUACUUAAGUGAUGGAAGUUCAUUCAUACCAGAUUCUGUCUGACCUAAGAUCACGGUGUCGGUGACCUAGUUUAUUCCAGAUUUAAAAGGAACGAAGAUAUGGAUUUUUUUAAAAUAGAUUUUUAAACUGAUGGGUAUUAAGUUAGAACAAAAAGACUUCUAACUGAUUUGACAAAUAGAUGCAUUCUACCUAUAUAUGGGAACUAAUAUACGUAAACCACCCAUCUCCUUAUUCAGUUAUGGUUUCUGGUCUGAGUAUCAGUAUCCUUUGGUUUGAUUUCUGUUCCCAUAAAGAGUUCACGUCUUUAAAAGGAAGCUAAUUAUUGACCUAGAUUGUUGACUUGUAUGCACACCAUCCAAAACUGAGAGGAUGGACUAAUUAGAUAUCUAAGAAUAAAAACAUGUUCCCCUUGAUUAAACAGGUAGUUUUCAUGUGCUUUUCCUAAUAGACCAAGUAAUUGUUUAAAUUUUCAACUUGAUCACCCUGGGGAAAAAUAAUCUUAAGUGGCAAGUUCUCUUGAAACCUCUUGGGACAGUAGGAUGUUGGGAAGGAGCUGGGUUUCUUGAGGCGAUAAUCAGUAAAGGAUGUGGCAUGUCAAUGUUCUGAUGGAGGAAAAUGCCUGCUCUCCUGAAAGUGCAUGAAAACAUAAGGACUGAAAAUCUCAAGGUGUGACCACACCUGUCAAACACUUGGUUAUGUUUCUUGGGUCAAGGACAUCCAGAGCUGGUCUGAGUUAGGUUUGAAAAUUGUGUGUUAGGUAAUCUAAAAUGAGAUGCACUAUUCAUGUUUUUUUGUUUGUUGGUUGGUUUAUUUGUUUUAAUAGUCAGACUCAAAUCAUUGCAUGGUUUGGUAUUAUUCCUACCCAAAAGAUUGAGAACAGGAAUUUCUGCUCAAUUCCUUAUGGAUUAAUUAUCAAGGCUAAUAUUUAUUGAGUGCCUGCUCUGUUCCUGGUAUUCUUCUGAGUGAUUACAUGUGUUCUUUCAUCCUGCCUUACAGAGCUGGUGAGGUACUCUUACUACCCUCUGGCCUAGCAAAUGAAGAGCUGAAGUACAGGUUACCAGGGAUCUAAUAUUCAAAACACCAGCAGUAGACACAGGGUCCAUAGUCUUUGCUAAUGCUAAGCAAUGCUUGUAGGUGAGAGAGGAAAUCUUUUUUACGCAAACUGAUAAACUUAACAUAUUAACACUGUUACUCAUCAGUAAGCCCUGAAAGUCCAGCAAACCAUUCAGCCCUCUGAGAUUGGCCGGGCCAAGUCUCUUCUCAGACUUGGGAGAUUUCUGAAGGAGGGAUCUAAAGUUGUAAUGAGUUAAAGUUUUAAAUGACUAAAUGGGGGUGCUUCACGUGGGUGCCCACUUGGAGUUCUGAUGCUGAUGGAGAGAAGCCUAGGGCCACUCACUUGAUUAAAUCUGAUUCCAAAGACCCGUGAUCUCCCUGCCUGAGCCUGCAAGAAAUCAAGCGUAUCAUAAAACCAGUGCUUUCAGCAAGCUUCCCGUCUCAGUUAGGUUUUGGUAAGAUGUUCACAAGAAUUUGCUUCCUUGGGAGGAAAAUCAGUGUACUAGGCUGCCGUUAGUUUCAUUUUCAUCGAGCUCGAUGAUGCGGUAGGAAGAAGGGUAGGUGUUAGGAAAGGUGGGGGCCAGGGGUUGGUGACAUCAAGGCAAAUGUCCCCUGGUUCUUGAAACUCCAGAGGAGCCUUAAAUGUGAUGCCAGAGCAACUGAUCCAUUUCAACAAGUGGCUGGUGGAUUUCAAGCUGGAGGAGAGCAGAGUAGAUGGUUGUUCUGGCUGUCUGUCUGGGCUCCCUCUGGCCACUCUGGCUGCUGACUAAGCCUGUCCCCUGGCUUGCAUAACAUCACAGCCACAGCACCACUGAACUUGUCCAUGCCCAUCCAAUAGUGACCUUCCACUUCCUGAGUUUCUUGUUCCUUAUGUAUGUUUCUCCAGGGUCUUCUUGCUUGGGGUCACUUUUGUUUUAGUGUGUUUUGUCUUACAAUAAGAUGGUUAUGUAAACCUGCUAAAAGGGUAAGUUUAACUUGUUUCACUGUUGGUACAAUCAUCACUAAAGUCUUGUGAGAGUCCUGCAAUGCCCAUUUGUGUUGCCAUCCAUAAUUAAAAGGUUCAGGUAGAUGUUCAGAUCUCUUGACACUCCCAGAUGGUGUUAGCAGUUACUGUGCAGAACCCUACGUAUUACCUGAUGGACAUUUUUAAAAAAUAUAUCCACUAAUUUUUGGAAAGGGCUUCAGAAAAAGACAACUUUGGUUUGGGAUAAGAAACAAAGCUGUUUGUUUUAUACAUUUUUCUAAUACAGUUUUAAAGAGUUUGCUUUUGGAAGCAUGCUUAGUUACUAUUAAACCAUUGUGUUCCCAUAGUUGGAAAAAAAUCGAAUAAAAAGUAGGCUAUUUUUAUUAUCUGCCAGAUUUCACAACAGUGGAGUGUUCCAUUUUGAUACAAAGAGAUAUAUAGCAGGAUUUAUUCAGCGAGUUCUUUAUAUUUAUAAAAGUGUCAACAGCAAAAACAGAACACAUUUAUACAGGUCAGUCAUAUAACUGUACCCAGCAAAUGGUGGUACCUAACGUAUGGGCUGUGUUUCCCCCACCAACAGUGCAGUUUGACCUUAUUUAUAGAACAGUAGGUAAAGUCGAUGUUUGUUCUUUCAGCUGUUUGCAUUUCUGACAGCAGUACUGUUCCAGCAGAAUAUAUCCCAAAGCCAGAGGAAAUUCUAUUUAUGUUUAUAAUCGCUGUAAAGAACAAGCCCUUAAUUAUCGCACUUCAUUUUUUUUUAAGAAUUCUAAUUAUAGCAAUUGAAAUUUACUUUUUUAUUAGUCAUCUUUCAACAUUACUUAUUGCAGUAUCAUGAGAUUAUUAAAGAUAAUAUUGGAGAGAAGGAACGAAGUCUGAACUGGGAUAUUCAGUGCUUAUAAAAUGGGAACAAGGACAAUUAUACUUUAUUAUAAGAAAAUUAAAAGGAAAAAACCAGCCAUAACAACCUAACAUAUGAGACACUUGUCUGAAUCAUCUUUGUUUUGCCAUGAUGAAGGUCAUGGUUUAUUGAUCAUUCAAACAUCGGUUAGGACAUAAAAAAUUAAUAAUUUUCUUGUUGACAUGUAUAUGUGCUAGCAUUUAAUCUGGUUAUACUUUGGGGAAAUUAAGAUGAAUUGAAUGUAUUUUUCCAGAAUGGCAUGGUUUUUGUCAACCACUCUGAAUUAUGCAUUUCAGUGUAUCUCUACUUGUAUUUUAUACAGAGAAUAGACAGAUUAGUGAACAAAGUCCCUCUUUUUUAAAGACUUGAAUGCACAUCUGAUUUCUCUUCUAUAAGGAGACAAGGGAGGGCAGGAAGGAGAGAAAGAGGGAGGCGAAGGGGAAUGCCCAGAGGAAUAGGAAGCCUACACAUAUGUUCCAGAUCCACUAGCAAUCACAGUCUCAGUGUCCACCCCCUAGUUCCAGUUCAGUGCUGUUUUUCCAAAUGAAAAUUUCUGCAUUUGCCCAUGAUGAAAUUUUGCAGAAGAGGAGUGAUGCCUAGAACCACUUAAUGGCAGAAUUUAGAAGUCACAUCUGCUUUCGCGCCAUCCUGUGCUCCUUCCCUUUAACUACCCUGUCUGCGCUUGAACUUGUGCUCAGUGUGUCUUCCACUGAACCAAAUCAGGGCUUGGAUUUUGGGAUGCUGACUUUGAUUUCAUUUUUAAUGUGUUGAUAUAUAAAAAGUGCCUAGGACACCAUCUAACUGAUGGUUAACAGGCUAGCAAUGUUGCCCAUUAGUAAUACUAUUUCUAUAGCAUUGGCAAUUUGAUCGCAGUUUCUCGAACUUUCCAAUGAAUCAUCAAAAGCCACUCCCUAGAGCUUCCCUGAGUCCUUGCCAAGCAAGCCCCCUGGGGCCCCUCCCACAAUACCCAACACACACACACACACACACACACACACACACACACACACACACCUACCUUCCAAAGAGACUACAGCUGUGUUCCCUGCACAGAGGCUGGAGCCACCCUGGUCCACCAAGGGCUGCUUCAAGCUGCUAGAAGUCUCUUUGACAAAGAAUCUAGAUGGAUUUUUCCACACAGGAAUGAAAAACUUUCAAGACAACUGUUUUUAAUGGAUACAUAGGAAAAUACAGAAAACAUUUGGCCAAGACACAAGCUGGAUCCGGUCCUCUGGAGAGUUCCUGAAAUAGGCCCUGGUAAAAGCAAAGGCAAGAAUGUUCAAGACUAUCAAGUUCACCCCUAUUGUUCAGAAGUGGUAUGACCUUUCCAGCCAAGCAGAGCACACUUAUCCUUCCUGUAGAACAUGCUGGUGGGAGAUGCUGGGUGGCCUGGCAAUUAAAGAUUCUGUGUUGUCAUUGCUAUGGUGAGGGUUCAAUCCCUGGCUCAGGAACUUCUGCAUGCUGUGGGCAUGGCCAAAACAAACAAAAAACACUUCGUGGUGAGCAAGCUCUUGGGCGAUUUGUGUUUAGACUCACUGGAUGUUAUGGAGGGUGAGUGCAUCCUGGAGGGUGAGUGCUACAUAUGUGUGCGAAGACACUGAUGGAGGUUUUCAUUCUAGGGGUUGAAUUGGAGCUGUAGCCACAGGUCAGUGCCACAGCCACAGCAACUUGGAAUCAAAGCCAUAUCUGCAACCUACACCACAGCUCACAGCAACGCUGGAUCCUGCACCCACUGAGCGAGGCCAGGGAUCAAACCCGAGUCCUCAUGGAUGCUAGGUCAGGUUCAUUAACCAUUGAGCUAUGACGGGAACUCCCUUUGAUGUUUCUCGAAGGCCUCAUUUAGUUGGUUUUUUAUUCAUUUCCUGAUGUUUUAUUCCGAGUAUGUUGAAACAUACAUAAAAGUUGCAAGAGAUGUCUAGGGGAAAGCCAUGUAGGGUGGAUUUCACUGGUCGUAAUGCCGCCGAUAACUACCAUGUUCUCCAUAUUUAGAUUUCAAGUCCUGUGCUAAACCCUUAACCUAAAUACUCCGUAUUUAAUCCUCUUCAUGAGAUAAACUUAUCUGUCUUAGAGAUGAAGAAAUCACCUACCCCGACUACUUUAGCUAUUAAGUGGCAAGAGACGGCCAAGUCUUUUUAAAACUAUAAAUUCUAUGUUUAACUGCCACCCUCCUGCCAAAACAUCUCAGGCUGCUCGCGACACACCUUUCAUGUAAUUCCUUGAUUCUUAG